CUCGUAGGUGGUUUGUUAAGUUGGAUGUGAAAUCCCCGGGCUCAACCUGGGAACUGCAUUCAAAACUGACUGACUAGAGUAUGGUAGAGGGUGGUGGAAUUUCCUGUGUAGCGGUGAAAUGCGCAGAUAUCAGGAGGAACACCGAUGGCGAAGGCAGGUUACUGGGCAGUUACUGACGCUGAGGAGCGAAAGCAUGGGUAGCGAACA
rnacentral:rRNA from 1 species